CAUUCUUCGUUGUUGUUUGGAAGGAAGGACGUGAUGUCCUUCUUCUCCGUUUGCUUUCUUUGAGGCAAAUCCGAGACACUGUAAAGCCGGCCAGCAUUUGAUAGGUGUAUACAGAGCAAAGAUAAGAUGUAGUCGAGAGACUUAUUUCUGAAGGAUUCCGACUAUCGUGUGCAGGUUUCUCAACUGGAGCGCCACGGGAAGCGAAGAAGCCAAGGAGUGUAUCAAGAGGCUUGAUGCGCAUGCGCGGUGUGACGGCGGCAAACUUCUGGCUGCAUCUUUUUACAUUUCCCAAGAGGAAAACAUGUUGCUGUGUACCGCUAGCUAUUGCGGACACUGGGAUUGCCCUGCGGGUGCGCCACUCAUAUCACCUUGUCGGUCACAAACAACUGCUACGCUGUCGUACCGUCCGGAUGUUUUGCGG